UGGCGAGAGUUAGGAACCGCACAGUGUAAUCGUGAAUGGACAUAUCCACUUGCCAUAGUCAGAAGAGCUCGUCAUGCACAGGUUGAGAUCGCCGAGGUUGAGGUACCAAACACUUCUCUGAAAUGGUUUACAAAAGAGUCUAGGGAAUGUGUUACUGGGCUUUGAGACUCCCAGAUAUAUCUUGCCCAUUGAAGCGCUCGCCUUGACAGCAAGGAUAUGAUAAAGGCGAUCUUUGCUCUUUCACUCACCAAUUGGUGUGUUUGCAUUUCGAAAUAUAGGGAACAUUGCAAAAGGAAGCCACUGCACUCUUGACGCCUCACCGGAAUAAGUUGUGGGCUUGCCCAUGGGACAUGCGAAGGCAGAUGAAGUGACGGGUGGUGACUGAAGUGAGGAACUGAAUGUUUCUACCAAUACGGUGAAGGGAUCGGAGGCGGUUGGAUUCCGCUUUUCCAUCUUGUGUUCCUUUGAUAGGCUGGUCUUCUGUCACAACUGUAAGGAGAGGAACAAGAUGGUGGGUUUUGGGCUAGUCUGUCUGGGAACAUGGUUUCGGGUCAUCACUGGAUUCAUAGGAAUUUACCAAAUGAAUGGACUGAAAACAACACCAUUCACUAUUGGUGUGACGGCGUUGGUCAUCACCGGUAUUCUGAUAACACUGGUCGCUGUUCUCGGCAAUCAUGGCGCACGCAUGUAGCCGCAAUAAAUCUGCUCUUAAUGUGUUUUCUGGCCUGCUGUCCUUUCUGAUCAUCAUAAACAUCGCAGUAGGAGUGAUGGCCUUUGUGUGGCGUGGAGAAAUGUCAGACGGGUUGGCAAAGUUCUACAUCAAGAUCUACACUCAGUAUCCGCACACCAGGCGUAAUAAUGAAACCAUGGUUCUCAAACUAUUCCACAAAACUACUGCUGUGGCAUUGGUGGACCGAUUGAAGAGUCUGUGCUUGACACCUGUCCAGAAGGCAACUUCCCGAACCAGAUCACAUUUCCUGUGAGUCAAUUCCUGUUUGUCUUAAAGCCUGUUCACACCAAAAACUAUAACC
rnacentral:lncRNA from 1 species